rnacentral:rRNA from 1 species
UGGGGAAUAUUGCACAAUGGGCGCAAGCCUGAUGCAGCCAUGCCGCGUGUAUGAAGAAGGCCUUCGGGUUGUAAAGUACUUUCAGUCGGGAGGAAGGUGGUAAGGUUAAUAACCUUAUCAAUUGACGUUACCGACAGAAGAAGCACCGGCUAACUCCGUGCCAGCAGCCGCGGUAAUACGGAGGGUGCAAGCGUUAAUCGGAAUUACUGGGCGUAAAGCGCACGCAGGCGGUUGAUUGAGUCAGAUGUGAAAGCCCCCGGCUCAACCGGGGAGGGUCAUUGGAAACUGGGAGACUUGAGUGCAGAAGAGGAGAGUGGAAUUCCAUGUGUAGCGGUGAAAUGCGUAGACAUAUGGAGGAACACCAGUGGCGAAGGCGGCUCUCUGGUCUGUAACUGACGCUGAGGCUCGAAAGCGUGGGGAGCAAACAGG